AACGGCGAGUGAAGCGGCAAAAGCUCAAAUUUGAAAUCUGGUACCUUCGGUGCCCGAGUUGUAAUUUGGAGAGGGCAACUUUGGGGCCGUUCCUUGUCUAUGUUCCUUGGAACAGGACGUCAUARAGGGUGAGAAUCCCGUGUGGCGAGGAGUGCGGUUCUUUGUAAAGUGCCUUCGAAGAGUCGAGUUGUUUGGGAAUGCAGCUCUAAGUGGGUGGUAAAUUCCAUCUAAAGCUAAAUAUUGGCGAGAGACCGAUAGCGAACAAGUACAGUGAUGGAAAGAUGAAAAGAACUUUGAAAAGAGAGUGAAAAAGUACGUGAAAUUGUUGAAAGGGAAGGGCAUUUGAUCAGACAUGGUGUUUUGUGCCCUCUGCUCCUUGUGGGUAGGGGAAUCUCGCAUUUCACUGGGCCAGCAUCAGUUUUGGUGGCAGGAUAAAUCCAUAGGAAUGUAGCUUGCCUCGGUAAGUAUUAUAGCCUGUGGGAAUACUGCCAGCUGGGACUGAGGACUGCGAC
rnacentral:rRNA from 1 species